CUUUGGUUGUUGCAGAUUGUAAUUCAUUCAACAGGACUUAACUCCAUUGGAAAGUUGUAAGUAUUGGCUGUUAUAAUGUUAUUGAUGUUAUUGUUUUUAAUUAUUUGUUUUGUUUGUUAUCUUCCUUAAUUACAGAUUGUUGUUCUGAUUACACAACAGGACCAGGACUUAGCUUCAUUGGGAAGUCAGUGGUGAGGAUGGGAAUUAUAUAAAAGUAUUUGGUGAAAGUGUUCAGAAUCAGUUUUAAUCAACUCUUAUUCUUUAUUUUGUUAUCUUCCAUCGACACAAAUGAUGUCAAAGAGCCAAUAGAAAGCCACAGAUUUAUGAAGGUAGAGAUUCUACUUUCAUCUUGUAUACUGGAACAAGAUUAUAUGCCAGCCUGCAUCCUUAAUUUAUCAGAUGAUGGCUAACCUGUAUGUUUAAACUUUAUAUAUCAGGCUUUUCAUCUUGUAUACUUGAAGAGAUUAUAUACCAGCCUGCAAAUUCUAAAUGUUUUAGUUGAUGGCCAACUUCAGUAUCCUUUACUUAAUAGAUGUAUGUCAGCCUGAUGAAAAUAGCAAACAGGAAGUUUUCAAGAGAUUGUUAUCUCAAAUCUGAAGUGGUUCAAUGCAAAACACGAGCUUCAUUCAAUGCUGGCCCUGCAUGGUAUUCACAAAGUGCCGUUAUUAGAUGAAAACUUAAUGGGAAUAAAUUUACCUGAUGUUUAGGUAAUGUUUGAUACUUCCAAUUGUGGAUAUUUUGAAAAAAAGGUGAAAAUGAAGGAAGGACAUCAACACACACGAACUUUUUUAUUAAUUAUAAAAUUGAGGAUGGAGAGUCAAAUAUAAUUUUAAAAUAUGAAAUGUGUGAAAGGCAAAGAGAGAGUCAGCUAGAUUUUGUGAAGAUUAUAUUUGUUCAUUUUAAAGCUCACUGCUUAUCUUCAAUGUUUGAUUAAAAAUGUUUUUUUUUUCUUCAAAAUUCAUUAUGUUAAAAUGUGAGAUAGUUAGAAUAUUCAUUUGUAAAGAUUUAUCCUGUUUCAUACUAUUGUUUCCAUUUUUUACGAGCUGUUUGACUAUAGACGGUCACUGCUAUUUUUUGUUUGUUUGUAUUUAUGGCUUAAACAAGAUUAUUCUAAGAGGAAUUGCAGUGUAUGAAAGACAGAAAGAAGGACUAUGUAAAGGUCUAUUCUUUUUCAGCAAAACAGCAGGUUCUUCUUUAUAACUUUUUGUAUUGAAAUAAUCAAGCACUUGCCAAUUUGUUUAAAUUGGAUAAAUCUUGGAUGAGUAUUACAUUAAUGUGUAUUGAAAACUGUAUUUUUAAAAAGGAUACACUAAAAAUAUUACAUACUAAAAAAUUUAAAUCAUAAACUUUCAUUUUAUAUCUAAAUUAUCACACUUAUGCAAUAUAUUAAGUGUACCAUUUUAUAUAUAUAUAUAUAUAUUUAUUUUUUUUUAGUUUUCAACACAGGAAGUGAAAUCUAAAUUGAAUGAGGAGCUAAUAGGUUGAAGUUAUGGCAAGGGGAGGGAAUAAACCUAUUUACCUCCUAUUACUGGUUUCUUCCUAUGAUGAAAGUUAAUUUAUCAUACUUGUAUUAUUUACAUGUAAUAUAUUUAAGGGACACAGAUGUUAUCAAAAUUUGCCAUUUUGUAGAGCUAAUAGUAAAGAAAUAAUGUAAACAAAAGAUAAAGAAAAAAAAAGAUAAAAGAAAAACUGUAAACUAAGUUCUAGGAAAUGGCAGUAUGGGAUUUUCUGAAAUUUAUAAGUUGUAUUGGAUCGAAAAGUAUUCUUACAACUUAAUAUAUCUGGUGUGUGUGAGGGAGAGAAAUAUAUUUUGUGGAGGUUUAUUUUCUUUCAGCCAAACAGCAGGCACUUCUUACAACUUUUUGUAGACUGGUCUCAAACAAGUUGCCAAACUUAACCUAUCAUUUGGUUUAGAUAAGAUAAAUCUAGAAGUGGAAGAUAGUAUUUUGAGAUGCUACUUUUUCUUUAAUUUGUUUUAUGGCUUGAAUCUAUGAACAAAGAAUAUACACUUGAAUAUGACAUGGAUCAAAAUUUAAUAAAUCAGCUCUCAUUGUUUUAAACAUCACAGUCAUGUUCUAUUCUAUGCGUAUCUAUGUCAUUUGUGAACCCCUUCAACACAGAAAGCAAAAUCCAUGUGAUGAAUGAGGAGCUAAUAGGGUUAAGUUUAUGGCAAGGGGAGGGAAUACACCUAUUUACCUCCUUAUUCUGGUCGCUUCCUUUGGUGAAAGGUAAUUAAUUAGACAUUAAUAGGAGCACAUCAGAUGUAAUCAAAAUUUGCCAUUUUGUAGAGCUUAGUAAAAACUGUAAACUAAGUUAUAGGAAAUAGCAGUAUGGGUUGGUUUGAAAUUUAAUGAUAUCUUUUGGAUAUUAAAUUCUUCUUUUUAUAUUUUAAAUUCAUCUGAUUUGCAUAUUUGAUAGAGAGAUAGAACAAGACUUUGUGAAGGUUUAUUCUGUUUCAAUCUAACAGCAGGUGCUUCUUUCAUCUAAUUGUAGUCAUCUCUUAUGACCAAUUUUCAAUAAAACUACUAAAACCUGCCAUUGGAUUAAGUUUGGAUGAAUCUAGAAGGAGGGUAAAGUAUUUCGAAUUUGAUUACCAGUACUUAAAAAAAUAAUUACAUUGUUUCUUAAUUUUCAAUAUUUGGAGUAAGAGCAUGAUAUUUUAUUAACAAAACAUUCAAGUGUUAUUUUUUUUUUUGCGUUUUGUGUAUGGUUAUUGAAAUAAUAAUAUUUCUUAAUAAAAGUUUAUAUUGAAAAUCAGCAA